UGGGAUUUAGCUCAGUGGUAGAGCACUUGCCUAGCAAGCGCAAGGCCCUGGGUUCGGUCCCCAGCUCCUAA
rnacentral:tRNA from 1 species